rnacentral:rRNA from 1 species
UUGAACGCUGGCGGCAGGCCUAACACAUGCAAGUCGAGCGGUAGAGAGGUGCUUGCACCUCUUGAGAGCGGCGGACGGGUGAGUAAUGCCUAGGAAUCUGCCUAGUGGUGGGGGAUAACGUUCGGAAACGGACGCUAAUACCGCAUACGUCCUACGGGAGAAAGCGGGGGAUCUUCGGACCUCGCGCCAUUAGAUGAGCCUAGGUCGGAUUAGCUAGUUGGUGAGGUAAUGGCUCACCAAGGCGACGAUCCGUAACUGGUCUGAGAGGAUGAUCAGUCACACUGGAACUGAGACACGGUCCAGACUCCUACGGGAGGCAGCAGUGGGGAAUAUUGGACAAUGGGCGAAAGCCUGAUCCAGCCAUGCCGCGUGUGUGAAGAAGGUCUUCGGAUUGUAAAGCACUUUAAGUUGGGAGGAAGGGCAUUAACCUAAUACGUUGGUGUCUUGACGUUACCGACAGAAUAAGCACCGGCUAACUUCGU